rnacentral:rRNA from 1 species
GACGAACGCUGGCGGCGUGCCUAACACAUGCAAGUCGAACGGAAAGGCCCUGCUUUUGUGGGGUGCUCGAGGGGCGAGGGGGUGAGUUACACGUGAGUAUCCUGCCCUUGACUGGGGGAUAUCUUGAGACAACUGGGGCUAAUACCGGCGAGGAGCUCCUGCUGGUUGGGGGGGGUUGGAAAGCUUAGGCGGUUGGGGGUGGACUCGCGGCUUAUCAGCUGGUGGGUUGGGUAGUGGCUUACCAAGUCUUUGACGGGUAGCCGGCGUGAGAGGGCGACCGGCCACAUUACUCCUGCGAUACGGCCCAGACUCCUACAUGAGGCAGUGGUGGAGAGUAUUACACAGUGGGCGGAAGCCUGAUACGACGACGCCGCGAGCGGGAUGACGGCCUUCGUGUUGUAAACCGCUUUCGCCUGUGACGAAGCGUGAGUGACGGUACCGGGUAAAGAAGCACCGGCUAACUACGUG